AUUGAACGCUGGCGGCAGGCCUAACACAUGCAAGUCGAGCGGAUGAAGGGAGCUUGCUCCUGGAUUCAGCGGCGGACGGGUGAGUAAUGCCUAGGAAUCUGCCUGGUAGUGGGGGAUAACGUCCGGAAACGGGCGCUAAUACCGCAUACGUCCUGAGGGAGAAAGUGGGGGAUCUUCGGACCUCACGCUAUCAGAUGAGCCUAGGUCGGAUUAGCUAGUUGGUGGGGUAAAGGCCUACCAAGGCGACGAUCCGUAACUGGUCUGAGAGGAUGAUCAGUCACACUGGAACUGAACCACGGUCCAGACUCCUACGGGAGGAAGCAGUGGGGAAUAUUGGACAAUGGGCGAAAGCCUGAUCCAGCCAUGCCGCGUGUGUGAAGAAGGUCUUCGGAUUGUAAAGCACUUUAAGUUGGGAGGAAGGGCAGUAAGUUAAUACCUUGCUGUUUUGACGUUACCAACAGAAUAAGCACCGGCUAACUUCGUG
rnacentral:rRNA from 1 species